rnacentral:misc_RNA from 1 species
AAGACUAUAGACCUGCGGAGUACCUGCGGAGGGAUCAUUAAUGAAAUCAUAUUCUCCUUUGGAGUUUCUUCUAGCUGAUGCGUCUUUUGGCUGCACGCUGUUGUCACUCUUUAGGGGUUAUAUUUCCACAAACCCUUCUGUGCAUAUUGGGAGGCUUUAUUGUCCUCUCCUAAUUCAUAUACUCUAAUGUUUAAUCAUGUCAUACAAUGUUAAAUACAUUAAACAACUUUCAACAACGGA